rnacentral:rRNA from 2 species
UGGGGAAUAUUGCGCAAUGGGGGAAACCCUGACGCAGCAACGCCGCGUGAAGGAUGAAGGCUUUCGGGUUGUAAACUUCUUUGAUCGGGGACGAAGAUGACGGUACCCGGGGAACAAGCCACGGCUAACUACGUGCCAGCAGCCGCGGUAAUACGUAGGUGGCAAGCGUUGUCCGGAAUUACUGGGUGUAAAGGGCGUGUAGGCGGGGCGGCAAGUCAGAUGUGAAAUACCGUGGCUUAACUGCGGGGGUGCAUCUGAAACUGCUGCUCUUGAGUGUCGGAGAGGAAAGUGGAAUUCCCAGUGUAGCGGUGAAAUGCGUAGAGAUUGGGAGGAACACCAGUGGCGAAGGCGGCCUCCUGGACCACUCCUGACACUCAGACGCGAAAGCUAGGGUAGCAAACGGG